AACUCGAACGCAACUCUCGGUCACUCCCUCGCUGCUGCUGGAAGAGGAUGGUUGUCUCUGCCGUUCUUCCCUCGUUUAUCGUGUUUUUAUGGGUAUAUCGGUUGAUGCCGACGUAACCCGGUCUUGUUCAUCCUCCAAAAUGAGGAGAUUGGUCCUGUUGGAGUUCCGAGUUUUUGGAUGGAGCUAGUGUGGUUCCUGUGCUAUCAACAUGACGUGCAGAAGAGGCGAGGAGUUUCCUCUAGGAAAUGGUUAUCCUGAUUUCAAUGUCCAACUUUUGGAAGGAUACUCAAUUUGGCAUUGGGUUUCCUGUCAGAUGUUGGUCAGUGAAUGUGAAAGUGGUUUGAAGAUACGAUGAAAGGAAAUGUGCAAGCGGAAUUGGUAUAUUAAAAUUUCACAAGGAUGCUGGUGAUAUUUCAAGGCUACCAAUUUGACUAAAUUGCAAGGUGUCAGGGCUUGUCAUAUUGGAGAGCAUGACUCGUGAAGAUAGAAAGUUUAAAUUUGCUUUGGUAUUUGGAGUUCACUGAUGGUAUUGGCCAGGGACUGAAAAGGGAGGAAAGAUGUAUUGAAAGAAAUUAAGCAGGCGAGAGUUGGUAUUCGAUCUAUACCGUCAUGACUGUGCCACAAGGGUGGUUCCAGAAGUAACCAUGAAGUUGCCGCCAGUGCUCACAAAUAAACAUGAUUGACCA